rnacentral:rRNA from 1 species
CCUACGGGAGGCAGCAGUGAGGAAUAUUGGUCAAUGGACGAGAGCCUGAACCAGCCAAGUAGCGUGAAGGAUGACUGCCCUAUGGGUUGUAAACUUCUUUUAUAAAGGAAUAAAGUGAGGCACGUGUGCCUUUUUGCAUGUACUUUAGGAAUAAGCAUCGGCUAACUACGUGCCAGCAGCCGCGGUAAUACGGAGGAGGCAAGCGUUAUCCGGAUUUACUGGGCGUAAAGGGAGCGUAGGUGGGUUGAUAAGUUAGUAGUGAAACUUCGGGGCUCAACCUCAGAACUGCUACUGAUACUGUUGGACUUGAGUACAGGAGAGGCAGGCGGAAUUCGUAGUGUAGCGGUGAAAUGCGUAGAUAUUAGGAGGAACACCAGUGGCGAAGGCAGCUUGCUGGACUGAAACUGACGCUGAGGCACGAAAGCGUGGGGAGCAAACAGGAUUAGAUACCCUUGUAGUC